rnacentral:rRNA from 1 species
GAUUUCAUAAAUAUUUUUUCAUUUUAAAAUUUUUUAAAAUAUUUAUGGGGAGUAAUACGCUUUCGUUCUUUAAGAUAACUAAUUUAUUUUCAUAAAAGGGAAACCUUUUUAUUUUUUCCUAAGAAAUAUUAUUGUUUUAUUUUUCUUAACAGUAGAUAUAAGUGUAAUAACUUUUUCAACAAAUAGAGAAAACUCCAUUUUCUUAAAAAUAUAGAAUAAUGAAUUAAUAGAUCAGUAGAUCUUUUUUUUUCUAAAACCAUUUUCUUUUUAUUUUGAAAUCAAAAUUAUUCUUACUUACUGAUUCUUUCUUAGACUGGUUAAUAAAAUCUUAGCUGCAAAAUUUGCAGUUAUUUCUGCUCCAUGUUUCAAAAUAAAUAGCUGUCUUCGCACUAAGGUAGCAAAAUCAUUAGUUACUUAAUUGGUGACUUGAAUGAACGAAUUUUCUAGGAAAAUAUUAAUUUUUUUCUUUGAAUUUAUAGAUUUGUUGAAAAUAACAAUUUACCCCCAUAAGACUAAAAGACCCUAAAAUUUUUAUAACUAUAGAAGUUAUUUGAUUGGGGAAAUAAUAAAAAAUAAAUAUUAAAUAAUUUACUUUUUUCUGAACCUUUACUAUUGAAAAAAGGAUAAAAUACUUUAGGGAUAACAGCUUAAUUAUCUUUAAAAGUUCUUAUUAUUAAAAUAGUUUUAGACCUCGAUGUUGGAUUGGAAAAACUUUCUGGGGCAG